CCAGUCGGCCGGAUGACCGCCUGCCGCUCUAAGCGAAAGCGCCGGCGGGAGGAAAGUCCGGGCUCCAUGGAAGCACGGUGCCGGAUAACGCCCGGCGGGGGAAACCCCAGGGAAAGUGCCACAGAAAACAAACCGCUCCGGCUCGUCCGGAGCAAGGGUGAAAUGGUGCGGUAAGAGCGCACCGCGCGCCCGGCAACGGUCGCGGCAGGGUAAACCCCACCGGGAGCAAGAUCGAAUAGGGGUGGCAACGGCCGGCAACGGCCAGGCCCGUUUUCAGGCCGCCGCCCGGGUUGGUCGCGUGAGGUGCGUGGCGACACGCAUCCCAGAUGAAUGGUCAUCCAGCGCCCGCAAGGGCGCGGACAGAACCCGGCUUACAGGCCGGCUGGCACU
rnacentral:RNase_P_RNA from 1 species